rnacentral:sRNA from 1 species
GCAGGAACAGUCCUCUGUCCCUAUCUUUUGGUGUCCGGACAUGGCCUUGGCACUGUAGCAUGUGGACAGCCAGUGCCACGGAUUUCAGAACCCGCAUUGCCAGUUGACUGCCUGCUUUGUGCUACGUGCAGGCCUGCCGCGCCCUGAUGAUUGCUGCCUCGGUCCUGGGUCUGCCGGCCAUUUUACUGCUGCUGACUGUUCUUCCCUGCAUCCGGAUGGGCCAGGAGCCCGGUGUGGCUAAGUACAGGCGGGCCCAGCUGGCUGGUGUUUUGCUCAUUCUGCUGGCUCUCUGCGCCCUUGUUGCCACCAUCUGGUUCCCUGUGUGCGCCCACCGUGAGACCACCAUCGUGAGCUUUGGCUACUCCCUGUAUGCAGGCUGGAUUGGUGCUGUGCUGUGCCUCGUGGGUGGCUGUGUCAUCCUCUGCUGUGCUGGAGAUGCCCAGGCCUUUGGUGAAAACCGUUUCUACUACACUGCGGGCUCUAGCUCCCCGACUCAUGCGAAGAGUGCCCACGUAUAAGAGGGCUGCCCGGCUGCCCACAGAGGUGCUGUAGAUGCUGGGCCCAGGGCCCUAGGUUUGCUCGUCACAGUGUGGGGAAGCCCAUUCCUCUGCCAGGCUCUAAAGCCAAAGGUCUAGAAAAGCAUCCUGUCUGGCAUUUUGUAGUCUUAACUUCUCCCCAUUUCCCCCAUCUUUUGGUUGCCUUAAAAGAAAUCUCUAGCUCAGAUAAUGCCCAGACAUUUUUUUCCCAUGGUGUUGCCACUAUUAGCUCUUUUCUUGGGCAUUCUUUUGCUGUUUAUUAAAAAUAUAUUAUAUAUAUUUUGUUUCUUUAAAUUUCAAAUGUUUUGCAAACAUCACUGAGUUAGGUGGGGGUGGGGAAGAGAAAUACAAGACACUUUUUUUUUUUUUUUUUAAAUAGGGCCUUACUCUGUUGCUCAGGCUGGAGUGCGGUGGUGUGAUCUCGGCUCAUGUAGCCUCAACCUCCCUGGCUCAAGUGAUCCUCCUGCCUCAGCCUCCCAAGUAGCUGGGACUACAGGCGUUCACUACUACACCCAGCUAAUUUUUAAGUUUUUUGUAGAGAUGAGGGCUCCCUAUGUUGCCCAGGUUGGUCUGGAACUCCUGGACUCAAAGUAUCCUCCCGCCUCGGCCUCCCAAAGUGUUGGGAUUAUAGGAGUGAGCCACCACACCGGCCAAGAUGCUUUUCAAACUGAUACAGAUGACAAUGGGAGCCUCAUAAAGAUGGCUUUUGUUUCUUCCCUUCAAGGUCAUUUACUUGUACGAGACAGAAAAAGAUAGCAUUGGGGACAUGGGAUGAGGGAGGGAGGGCAAUAGUGGAACGAACUUUCCAUGGGAAACUUUCCCUUUUGUAAGUUGAGGGCCAGGGGUAGGGAUAUUUUUUAGUUUGUGAUUUUGCAUUUAUCUGUACAUACUUUUUCAAGAUUGAUCAUUUUUAUAACCAUGGUUUUCCUGAAAUCCUCAGUUCAUCAAUAUGAAGGAAAUGAACCACAUAGACUUUAUGCAAUAAAUAACAGUGCAAGUGAGUAUAACUUUAACUGAUGUUCCACAAAACAUUUUUGAUUUCAGGUUUAUAUGAUGUAGUUUUUAAUCGUACAUUUUCAUAUGCUUCAAACUAACACAUUUUUAAAGCUUUCCCCCACUUUUCUCUCUAUUUGCAUUGUUAGCCAUCUUGAAGUGAUGUUGUUUAACAUAAAUUGUACUGUUGAAUUUGGCUUUACGGGUGUAAACACUGAUGGUAUAUCAGUAUCUGAGACCCCAGACUCUCCAAAUACUGAUGGUGCAUUUUAUUCUUGAAGUGAAAUCUGUGCAAUAAAAUAACAGACUGUC